rnacentral:rRNA from 1 species
UACGUAGGAUGCUAGCGUUGUCCGGAUUUACUGGGCGUAAAGCGCGCGCAGGCGGCACUGUAAGUAAGGUGUGAAAUAUCCCUGCUCAACGGGGAGGGUGCACUUUAGACUGCAGAGCUAGAGGACGGUAGAGGGGGGUGGAAUUGCUGGUGUAGCGGUGAAAUGCGUAGAGAUCAGCAGGAACACCGAUGGCGAAGGCAGCUCGCUGGGACGGUACUGACGCUGAGACGCGAAAGCGUGGGGAGCAAACAGG